CCCCCCUUUUUUUCCCCCAAUUUCUCCCCAUUUUUCCCACUUUUUCCCCUUUUCCCACUGGGAAUUCCCUGUGUAAAACCAGCCCAGCUUCCUCCACCCCCAGAUCUUUGCUCUGCACCUGCAGGACCCUCCACACCUCAGGAGUUUGCCAAAAAACUGAAAAGUUUUCUUCAUUUCUUUAUUAUUAAAGAGAUGCCAGAGCUGAAUCUUUAAAAAAAAAUAUUCUGAAUAUCUUUAAUAUCUGGAUAUUGGCAUGCCCAGAUACUGAUACCACACUUAUUUAUAUAAUUUUAAUAUUAUAUUUAAUCUGUUCUGGACAUUCCAGGGUGGUCAGAGAGAAUUAAUCUUGGUUUUCCCCUUCACCCACCCUCUCUCCACAUGGGAAUAUUCCCCUUUUCCCAGUUUUUCUCAGGACCACUUCACACCAGGAUUUUUUUUAAUGCCCAAACAGCUUGGAUGGGUUUUUUCCUGCUGUAAUCCCAUUUUUGGGAACUUUUGGUGGUUUAACCUGGAUUCCCUGCAGUGCCUGUGAUUCCCAAAAUCCAGGGAAGUUUCCUGGAGUUGUGCAACCCUUGGAAGAGUCCCAAAAUCCAGAGAAGAUUUUCCUGGAGU
rnacentral:lncRNA from 1 species